UCAGUAAGCGAUCAAAUGGGAAUAUCCUAAGACAUUGAGUAGUAACCAGUACAUACUAGAUGAUCAGUGUGCAAAAUAGCCACUGGCCCACUAGCCCGUGGCUAGUAAACAUCCCCUCGGGCCAUUAAAUCCCCACAGUCAAUGGCCUGACUGGCCAGUGAAAUUUGAUGGGGUCAUUUUGAAAAUAUAUCACUUUCCGACUUGUGAAGUUAUAGUACACUUUUAAAUCAUGCAAGAUUUUGGCCUGAUAAAAAUGUUCAUCAUAUUAGCAACUUAAUAAUGAAACCCGUGUCAUGUCGAUAAUAUCUUAUUCUCAUCUAUUUUUGUAAUCUUUUGCUUAGUUUCUACAUUCAAAUUUUGGGCUAGUGAAUUAUUUUGUGGGCUAGUAACUUUCAGACAUAGCUCGCCCAACUGCCUAGCAAAUUUGGAAACUAUGUCGCACACUGCUUUUUAUUGACAU